AGGGCACCACCAGGAGUGGAGCCUGCGGCUUCAUUUGACUCAACACGGGGAAACUUACCAGGUCAGACAUAGUAAGGAUUGACAGACUGAGAUCUCUUUCUUGAUUCUAUGGGUGGUGGUGCAUGGCCGUUCGUAGUUGGUGGAGAGAUUUAUCUGGUUAAUUCCGUUAACGAACGAGGCCUCAGCCUGCUAGCUAGCUCUAUGGAGGUACACCUUCACGGCCAGCUUCUUAGAGGGACUAUGGCCUUUUAGGCCACGGAAGUUUGAGGCA
rnacentral:rRNA from 1 species